GAUGAACGCUGGCGGCGUGCCUAACACAUGCAAGUCGAGCGAACGGACGAGAAGCUUGCUUUUCUGAUGUUAGCGGCGGGCGUGUGAGUAACACGUGGAUAACCUACCUAUAAGACUGGGAUAACCUCGGGAAUCGGGAUCUAAUACCAGAUAAUAUUCUGAAUCGCAUGGUUCAAAAGCAAAAUACUGUCUUGCUGUCAUUUAUAGCUGGAUCUGCGCCGCAUUAGCUAGUUGUUAAUGUAAGGGCUUACAAAGGCAACGAUGCAUAUCCGACCUGAGAGGCUGAUAGGCCACACUGGAACUGAGACGCGGUCCAGACUACUAGGGGAGGGAGAAGUCGGGAAUCUCCCGCAGUGGGAGAAAGCCGGACGGAGCAACGACGCGUGAGAGAUGGAGGUCUUGGGAUCGUGAAACUCUGUUAUUCGGGAGAAACAUAUGUGUAAGUAAAUGUGAAGAUAUUGACGGUACCAAAUCAAAAAGCCACGGCUAACUACGUG
rnacentral:rRNA from 1 species